GACGAACGCUGGCGGCGUGCUUAACACAUGCAAGUCGAACGGUAAGGCCCUUCGGGGCACACGGGUGGCGAACGGGUGAGUAACACGUGGGUGAUCUGCCCUGCACUUCGGGAUAAGCCUGGGAAACUGGGUCUAAUACCGGAUAGGACCACUGCCUGCAUGGGUGGUGGUGGAAAGCUUUUGCGGUGUGGGAUGGGCCCGCGGCCUAUCAGCUUGUUGGUGGGGUGAUGGCCUACCAAGGCGACGACGGGUAGCCGGCCUGAGAGGGUGACCGGCCACACUGGGACUGAGAUACGGCCCAGACUCCUACGGGAGGCAGCAGUGGGGAAUAUUGCACAAUGGGCGCAAGCCUGAUGCAGCGACGCCGCGUGAGGGAUGACGGCUUUCGGGUUGUAAACCUCUUUCAGCACCGACGAAGCGCAAGUGACGGUAGGUGCAGAAGAAGGACCGGCCAACUACGUGCCAGCCGCCGCGGUAA
rnacentral:rRNA from 1 species